AGAGUUUGAUCCUGGCUCAGGAUGAACGCUAGCGGCAGGCUUAAUACAUGCAAGUCGAGGGGCAGCACGGGUAGCAAUACCUGGUGGCGACCGGCGCACGGGUGCGUAACGCGUAUGUAAUCUACCAUUAACCGGGGAAUAGCCCAGAGAAAUCUGGAUUAAUGCCCCAUAGUUCUAUUAGAUCGCAUGAUUGAUGAUUAAAGCUCAGGCGGUUAUAGAUGGGCAUGCGUGUCAUUAGUUUGUUGGUGAGGUAACGGCUCACCAAGGCUACGAUGUCUAGGGGUUCUGAGAGGAUGAUCCCCCACACUGGUACUGAGACACGGACCAGACUCCUACGGGAGGCAGCAGUGAGGAAUAUUGGUCAAUGGGCGCAAGCCUGAACCAGCCAUCCCGCGUGCAGGAUGACGGCCCUAUGGGUUGUAAACUGCUUUUAUACACCAAGAAAAACAUCCACGUGUGGGUGCCCGACGGUAGUGUAUGAAUAAGCAUCGGCUAACUCCGUGCCAGCAGCCGCGGUAAUACGGAGGAUGCAAGCGUUAUCCGGAUUCAUUGGGUUUAAAGGGUGCGUAGGCGGCUUUUUAAGUCAGUGGUGAAAUCCUGCCGCUUAACGGUAGAAUUGCCAUUGAUACUGAAAAGCUUGAGUACAUUUGAGGUAAGCGGAAUGUGUCAUGUAGCGGUGAAAUGCUUAGAGAUGACACAGAACACCGACGGCGAAGGCAGGUUACCAACCCAUUACUGACGCUGAGGCACGAAAGCGUGGGGAUCAAACAGGAUUAGAUACCCUGGUAGUCCACGCCGUAAACUAUGAUUACUAGUUGUUGGCGAUACAUUGCCAGUGACUGAGCGAAAGCAUUAAGUAAUCCACCUGGGGAGUACGUUCGCAAGAAUGAAACUCAAAGGAAUUGACGGGGGCCCGCACAAGCGGAGGAGCAUGUGGUUUAAUUCGAUGAUACGCGAGGAACCUUACCUGGGCUUAAAUGUAGAGCGACAGAUUGUGAAAGCAGUCCUUCUUCAGGAGCCCAGAGACAGGUGCUGCAUGGUUGUCGUCAGCUCGUGCCGUGAGGUGUCGGGUUAAGUCCCAUAACGAGCGCAACCCUUAUCGUUAGUUGCCAGCGGAUCAUGCCGGGGACUCUAGCGAGACUGCCACCGUAAGGUGUGAGGAAGGUGGGGAUGACGUCAAAUCAGCACGGCCCUUAUGUCCAGGGCUACACACGUGUUACAAUGGCCGAUACAAAGGGCAGCUACCAGGUGACUGGAUGCUAAUCUCCAAAGUCGGUCUCAGUUCGGAUCGAAGUCUGCAACCCGACUUCGUGAAGCUGGAUUCGCUAGUAAUCGCAUAUCAGCCAUGAUGCGGUGAAUACGUUCCCGGGACUUGUACAAACCG
rnacentral:rRNA from 1 species